AUUGUAUAAAGUCUAGCCGGGUGUAGCUCAGCGGUUGUGCAUCUACCCAGGAACCAAGAGGUCACCAGUUCCAUUCCCGGUCAGGGUAUAUGCCCAGGUUACGGGCUCUAUCCCCAAUGGGGGCAUAAAGGAGGCAGCCAAUCAACGAUUCUCUCUUAUCA